rnacentral:rRNA from 1 species
AGAGUUUGAUCAUGGCUCAGAACGAACGCUGGCGGCGUGCUUAACACAUGCAAGUCGAGUGCGCGUCUGUAGCAAUACAGAUGGCGCACGGCGCACGGGUGCGUAACACGUGGGUAAUCUGCCCUUCGAUGGGGAAUAACCUCGCGAAAGCGAGGCUAAUUCCGCAUAACAUUCCUAGGACCUCGGUCUCUGGACUCAAAGCCGUAAGGCGUCGAUGGAGGAACCCGCGCACGAUUAGCUAGUUGGUGAGGUAACGGCUCACCAAGGCUAUGAUCGUUAGCUGGUCUGAGAGGAUGGCCAGCCACACUGGAACUGAGACACGGUCCAGACUCCUACGGGAGGCAGCAGUGGGGAAUCUUGCACAAUGGGCGAAAGCCUGAUGCAGCGACGCCGCGUGGGGGAUGAAGCAUUUCGGUGUGUAAACCCCUUUCGACCGGGAAGAAUGCCUCGCAAGAGGACUGACGGUACCGGUAUAAGAAGCCCCGGCUAACUACGUGCCAGCAGCCGCGGUAAGACGUAGGGGGCCAGCGUUGUUCGGAAUUACUGGGUGUAAAGGGUUCGUAGGCGGUGUGGCAAGUUGGGAGUGAAAUCUCUGGGCUUAACCCAGAGGCCGCUUCCAAAACUGCUGUGCUUGAGUGUGGGAGAGGUGCGUGGAAUUGCAGGUGUAGCGGUGAAAUGCGUAGAUAUCUGCAGGAACACCCGUGGCGAAAGCGGCGCACUGGACCACAACUGACGCUGAGGAACGAAAGCUAGGGGAGCAAACAGGAUUAGAUACCCUAGUAGUCC